CUGUUGGUAUUGAGUCAGACCGAGAGUGGAUGGAGACAUCACUUUCGCAACUGACAUCUCAGGGAAUGGAAGUCUUCUCUGCUGCUUUUGGACACCAGGAUUAAGAAAAAACUACUCCAUGGUGGAAGGGCAGAUUGACCCUGAAAAAGACAUGUUAUCACAGCGGGGUUCCCACUGGGAGAGGUCUCACUCAGCCCUUGGAUUCAACUUCAUUAGGAUUACAGGAGAUACAAACAUCAGGAUGAAUAGAAAAGGAUGAAAAAAGAUGGUAAGAGAAAGAACUUCUGAGGAUUAUAAUUUGGAUGAAUAACGGCUAUGCUGCUCAAAGCCUACAAAAACCAGGCCUACCAAAGGAAUUAGAGAUGGAUCGUGUUUGUAUGACAUUGUAUUACAGUGUAAAAGUCUACAGUAUACAGUGCAGUAGAGAAGACCUAUCAAUUGAGAAAGCAAACUUUCUACUAUGAAGAAUAGAAAAGGAGACAGUAUCCAGUAUUCUUCCAUUCAAGUAUUCGCUGAGCUUCAUGGAAUCUGAAUAGGAUUAUGAAGGCGUAGGUCAGGAAGAUUUGCUCUGUUGAUUAAGUAGCAAAAGAACUUCAAGUAUCUGACAACUUAGGGGCUUGGCCGGAUUCAUUUCCUGUUUACUUGAGUGAAACUCAUAUGAUGUGCAUAGUUCAUCCUUCAGGUACAAAGCUAAAUCAUCUUGCUGCAUAAUGUAACAAGGUAUUAAACUAUUAUUCAAUAGAAAAGUUGCAUUGUAAAGAUUAUAAAUAAUUCAAGUUUCUAAAGUAUUUGAAUAAACUGUAU